AAUCAACGCUGGCGGCGUGCCUAACACAUGCAAGUCGAACGAGAAAGUGGAGCAAUCCAUGAGUAAAGUGGCGCACGGGUGAGUAACACGUGACUAACCUACCCUUGAGUGGGGGAUAACCUAGGGAAACCGUGGGCUAAUACCGCAUAAUACCUACGGGUCAAAGGAGCAAUUCGCUUUAGGAGGGGGUCGGCGGCAGAUUAGUUAGUUGGCGGGGUAAGUGGCCACCAAGACGAUGAUCGUAUCCGGCCUGAGAGGGCGCACGGACACACUGGAACUGAACACGGUCCAGACUCCUACGGGAGGCAGCAGUGGGG
rnacentral:rRNA from 1 species